ensembl:lncRNA
GAGAGGGAGAGGCGAAGGGGGUUUAGUAUAGAAAUGAAGCCAGUGUGAACUUCCUUCAUUGUUGUCAAGUUGUUUGGUACGACCAGAAAGAAAGCGAGAGAGAGAGCGAGAGAGCCAGUGGCGGUGAAGGGAAGGGGGGAAUGAGAAGAGAAUGGGUGAGGGAGAAAAGUGAGAUGAGGGUGAGUUGUUUAGUUUGUGCCAGAAGGAUUGAGAGAGGGAGGGAGGGAGAGAGAAAGAGGGAGGGAGAGAGUUAGUGCUGCUGGCCAUACCAGGACAUGGGAGUUGACAGGGAGGGGGAACAGAAUCAGCCCCUACAGAACAGCAGUGGAACAACCUAAUCAGCAGCUGCCUGGCCUUAGGAACAGCUUCCUCCUCGGUUCUGUUUCUCUCCCAACGCUCAAGUCAAGCCGACGAGGCCAGAUGAGCAAGACGAGGGCAGGGGACAGAGGCCUGCUACGCAGAACUCACAGCUGAUAGAGAGGAGUGGUCCGCGGAGGCGAGAAGGAAAAGUGCAAGAUAGAAAAAAAAAAACUGAGGAAAAGAAACAGGGAGAGAAGCCCUGUCUGGUUCUGAGAGGGGUUUCUCUGUGGAAUGCCCGUGGCAUGAUGCCGUCACUGAGUCUCACCCCACGCCCAGGUGACAAGGGAGGGCGUGUUGGGCUGUCAGCCAUUCACACCAGGCCCGUUAGGAGAGUCACUUCCGGUAUCUGUUCAUCCGUACUCCAUCUCAGAACCCUCUCGCCUCACUGACGUCCUGCCCCUUGUUCUUCCAUCACUUCCUCCUGAAGCCCCACCUCUUCCUGUGUGGCAUUGUGGGGAUGCUGGUGCCAGCUGGCGCUGGAAGUUACCAUGGUGACGGAUAGGUAACCUUUCUGAUGUUGUGCCAGAUGUGGAGAAGACAGGAGGGCUCCAUCAGACAUCGACGGGC